rnacentral:rRNA from 1 species
AUGGUGCGGCUUCCGGCAACGGCUCCAAAGGCCGGCGUGGUGGAGCGGAGGGAGGCGAGGCGAAGAAGCAGUGCGCGGGGGCUCUGCUCCCUGGUGGUUGGGGCGGAACGAAGGGAGGAGGAGGCGCGGGGCUCUGCAGGGAUGCUGAUGGCCUCGCGGGCCAUGGCGGGCGUGAUGGGAGGCGCCGGAGUUGGCCGACGAGGUGCGCGGGUGCCGUGGCGGGAAGGUGGCGCGGCUCCGGGGGCUGGCUGGUGGCGCGGGAGGAGGGCCAAGAGGAGAGGAAGGGAACGCGAGGACGAGGGUUGGGGGAUCGAGCGCUGGGUUUGCUCCUCUCUCUUUCUCUGCGGCUGGGGGCACGAGCGAGGGAGAGGGAGAGAUCGAGAGGAGGGAGAUGAGGAUCGGGCGCAGGCGCGGGUGUGCGUGGCGGCGCACUGGAGAGGAACGAGGGGAGACCGAUGA